GUAUCGAUGAAAAACGCAGCUAGCUGCGUUAUUUACCACGAAUUGCAGACGCUUAGAGUGGUGAAAUUUUGAACGCAUAGCGCCGUUGGGUUUUCCCUUCGGCACGUCUGGUUCAGGGUUGUU
rnacentral:rRNA from 1 species